CGCGUAAAGAACUUGCCUCACAGCUAGGGACAACAUUUAGAAAUGAAUGCUAAUACCUGAUAUUAUGAUUUUAAGGCAUCUUAGAAUUAUGAAAGCUAUAAGCACUGUGAGAGAGCUUCGCGUCCCAUUAGCUAGUUGGAGAGGUAACAGCUCACCAAGGCGAUGAUGGGUAGCCGGCCUGAGAGGGUGAACGGCCACAAGGGGACUGAGACACGGCCCUU
rnacentral:rRNA from 1 species